AACAAGAUAAGAUAAAUUAGUCUGACUGGUUCAUACCCAGUAUGUGGUUUUUAUACCUUUUGUUG
rnacentral:tRNA from 1 species